UUAAAUCACAUCCAUUCAUUUAUUCAAACUCAGAAACAACCCACCUUUUUCCCCUUUUAUUAAACAUUUUUUUUAGUGUUAUAAAUGCAAUAAAAACCGUUCUAAUCCAGGUUACAUUACCUGUAUAACGAGGGAGUUUAAAUGUUGUAACGAUUAUCAAGAAGGGAGAAUAGGCCAUGCAAUUAGGGUUGCGCAUAGGUUGGUUCAGCCCCCAAAUCAACAAUCGAAUUGCCGGCAACACGUAGACUCGG
rnacentral:lncRNA from 1 species